GCCCCCUGGGGGCAGGACGACACCGCUGGGGGCCGAGGGCAGGGCACGCCUUCGGAAUCCGGCUUCGAAGCCGGCCGCCUGACCUGGGGCAAGUGCUUUCAACUCUCUGAACUUCGGUUCCUCAUCUGCCAGUUGGCAGACGCUCAGCAAAUCUUCCUAGACUCACGGGGCGAAUUGUACAGUUGGGUAAAUCGAGGCCCAGAGAUGGCAAAAGGACCGUCCAAGGUCGUACAGCCACCCGGAAUUACAAUUCUUUUCUGCCGGGUCACACGCUGUCAUCCACGUGUUACCUAAGAGAGCUUUCCAGCCUGUGCUAAGAAAACUGCCCCACAUCAUCUGCAGUAGGACGGGGGAGUUGGAGCCCUGGUCAGGCCACUCUGCUACUGACCACAGUUUUCUCAUCUCUAAAAAGGCGCAGUAACAAUAUAAUUACCGUAUGCAGUCCCCCAGGAUACAGGGUCAAAGGAGAGCACAACCAUCGCAGUUGGAAGCCCAUGGGGCAGGGCCCAGGACACAGUGAGCAUACAAUAGACAUUAGCUGCUGUGGUGUCUUGAUUUCAAGCCCAGUGCAGAUGCAUCUGACUUACGAAACUUCAGUGACACCUGCUCUGUGCCAGACACUGAAGAUGGAGCAGUGAACAGCACUGACCCAGCCUGUCCUCCUGUUGCCUGCAGGCCAGGUAGGAAACACACUGGAAACUGAUAACUCCAUGUGCUCAUCGCCAUGUGGUUUCUGCUGGUCUGGGGAGCCGGGGACAAAGAGCAGAAAACAUGGUUCCAGGUAGAGGGGGGUAGCACGCAUGAAGACCGUGAGGCAGAAAGCACACAAAACUGAAUUGGAGAGAAGGCCCAAAUGGCUAGAGCUCAGAACCCGAG
rnacentral:lncRNA from 10 species